CGUACACUCCUGCGGGAGGCAGCAGUGGGGAAUUUCGGACAAUGGGCGAAAGCCUGAUCCAGCCAUGCCGCGUGCAGGAUGAAGGCCUUCGGGUUGUAAACUGCUUUUGUACGGAACGAAACGGCCUUUUCUAAUAAAGAGGGCUAAUGACGGUACCGUAAGAAUAAGCACCGGCUAACUACGUGCCAGCAGCCGCGGUAAUACGUAGGGUGCAAGCGUUAAUCGGAAUUACUGGGCGUAAAGCGUGCGCAGGCGGUUAUGUAAGACAGUUGUGAAAUCCCCGGGCUCAACCUGGGAACUGCAUCUGUGACUGCAUAGCUAGAGUACGGUAGAGGGGGAUGGAAUUCCGCGUGUAGCAGUGAAAUGCGUAGAUAUGCGGAGGAACACCGAUGGCGAAGGCAAUCCCCUGGACCUGUACUGACGCUCAUGCACGAAAGCGUGGGGAGCAAACAGGAUUAGAUACCCCAGUAGUCCCAUG
rnacentral:rRNA from 1 species